rnacentral:rRNA from 1 species
UACGUAGGGACCAAGCGUUGUUCGGAUUUACUGGGCGUAAAGGGCGCGUAGGCGGCGCGGUAAGUCACUUGUGAAAUCUCUGAGCUUAACUCAGAACGGCCAAGUGAUACUGCAGUGCUAGAGUGUGGAAGGGGCAAUCGGAAUUCUUGGUGUAGCGGUGAAAUGCGUAGAUAUCUGGAGGAAUACCGGUGGCGAAGGCGGCGAGUCCUGGACCGGCAUUGACGCUGAGGAGCGAAAGCCAGGGGAGCAAAGCAGGG